CCAACGCUUAUUAAAUUAUAAGACUGCUUACAAAGUUUCAUGGCAAUAGGAUUUAUAUUAUAGACAAUAUGACUAAUUCUAUAUUCAACUUUGCGUAUUAAAUUUAGACGUUAAAAUUGAAAAUUUUCAACUAUCAACAUUUGGGGCUUAAAAAAUUAAAAUAUUGCAAAAAAAUACUUUUGAAAUGCCUUAAUAUAUAAUAUAUUAUGUAUUAAAAGCAAUAGAGUACUCAUUUGAUUUAUCAGACUAAUCAUAAUUAUUAAAAAUUCAAAUUUAUAUGAGCCUGUGGCUAAAAAUGGAGGUUUUCCAAUGAAGGGGGGCCUUACAUGAAGAUGUAAUAUUUUCCAGCAAUUUUAAAUUUGUAAAGCCUUUUGGUUAUAAAUAAUCCUUACAUAUGUAUUUAAUGUACUUUAAAUGGAAAGAAAACUUACAAAUAACAUAUCACAUUAGUUUAAAAGGGUCUUAGGCCAAGUAAGACUGAAAAUAAUUUAGGGUCAAUUUAGGCCGUAUCACAUAUUUACAUUUAAAAAUGCAUAUUGAAGCUAUAGGAAAUAAAAUUUUGUGUCUUUUCUAUCAUUUCUAUACUCAGGUGACAUGAUACAAUAAAUCUGAGCACAAAAAGACUCUUGCAUUCAACUUUUUUUGCAGACAGUAUGGUCUGAUACAAAGAUUUUUCACUUUUUAGUGAAAAACAUGCAUGCAAUUUUAGUCUCAACAGGCUUAUAUUUGAACCACUUGCUAUCCUACAGAAGAAAAGAAAGAUAUUAUGUGACAUAAAACAGGUACAAAAGACAUUGUUAAGUGCUUUUUAUACAAAUUUAGUUAGGUCUUUAUAAUGGACUUCAACUUUUUUGUUCCAAGCUCCUCACAUUUAACUUGAUCCAAACAGGGCGUUAGACGAGGAUCAUAUAUACAACACAUUUUGCACAUAUUGUCCGAGAUAAUCUUCUUUUCUGUAGAUUCAGAGUUCACAAAUGAGUAAUACAACUGGAUUGAAGCAUAGAAACACAAAUAUUGACACAUAAAAACCUGUCAGAUAGAAAGUCAGA